rnacentral:lncRNA from 1 species
CCCCUGUGUGUUCACUGAGCCUCCGCCCUCUUCCUUUGAAUUUUCAAGGGCCUCAGCCUCCUACUUCUGCUUUUAUACUUGAUCUUAGCCAAAGGCCAAGAAGCAAUACCGCUUCUCUUUUUUACCCUUUCUGGCUUUGGUGACUUCCUUGAAGUGGGUCAUUGGUGUCUGUUAACCCACAGCUUAUGCUUCUCUCAGGUUCCUGCUCCUUUCGGCCAUGACCUGUAGAGUUCUUCUGGUGACAGCCUUGGCCCUGUGUCAUGGGUUCAACCUGGACACCGAGAAUCCAAUCACCUUCCAAGAGGAUGCAAGGGGCUUCGGGCAGACCGUGGUCCAGUUUGAGGGGUCCUGGGUGGUGGUUGGAGCCCCACAGGAGAUCACGGCUGCCAACCAGACAGGUGGCCUCUACCAGUGUGAUUACAGCACGGGCAGGUGUGAGCCUGUCCCCCUGCAGGUCCCCGCGGAGGCCAUGAACAUGUCCCUGGGCCUGUCCCUGGCAGCUGCCACCAACCCAGCCCAGCUGCUGGCCUGCGGCCCCACUGUGCAUCAGACUUGCAAGGAGAACACAUAUGUCAACGGCCUAUGCUUCCUGUUUGAUUCCAACCUGCGGCGACAGCCUCAGCACUUCCCAGAGCCCCUCAGAGGUAGGGCCCCAUGGCAGAAACCAGAGGGACAGGGUAGGACCAGGCUGGGCACUGCUCAUGGUCUAGGGGUGACUUAGAGGUCUAGGUGCAGACGUGUGGGGAAACUGGGGUCUUUUGCACACACAGAGGCCGGGGGCACCUCGAGGAAAGCCCUGACACAGCUACUUACCUCUGGGAUGGCCACCAACUGCACAGGCAUGGCCCUGUGGUCCUUAGAGCGAUGUCAGGAUCUCCACCCACAGCCUUCCAUGUGGUGGAUGGUGCAGCCCCUGCUGGUCUCUCUCACCGCCCGUCUUUUUUCCUCAAGUCCCCCCUGCCCCUGCACCUCCUUUUGCCGGGAAUUACGCGGGAUGCCUUGUGUCAUGGUAUAAGAGCCAUUUUCCUGGCUCACUUUUCUUCAAAGCCUAGCCUACAACCUUGCGCUGUCCUCUCAGCUCAGGUGCCACCGCCCCUCCCGACAGGGGCCUUUCCUCCGAUCAUUCCCAACACUCUACCACACUGCCCUGCUUUACUAUCGCCGG